rnacentral:sRNA from 1 species
CAGGUGGACGCGGCCCUCCUGGCGGGCCUGUCCCUGCCCCCGCAAGCCGCCCUGGGCCUGAGCGGCUUCUGCGUGGUUCCUGGCGGUUGCGCUCCCCGUUUCAUCCCCUCAGUGAGCAUCGGCGCUUACCACAGAAUGAACUAUGCAGAUAACAGCACAUGAACACCGUUUCUGGAAUGAAAUCUUACUCCUCCCGUUUCACCACCUUCUCCGGAGCUCUCUCCGCCUUGCUGCCGUCCAUCGCUUCAUCCUCAGCGCUUCCUGAGUUUUAAAAUCGCCUAUCUACGCUUCCAAGUUAUAAAGAGUUAUCUAUACGUCUGUGGGUUAG